rnacentral:ncRNA from 1 species
CAAAAGCUUGGUCCUGACUUUUCUAUUAGCCCUCACCAAAAUUACACAUGCAAGUCUCCGCACCCCCGUGAGAAUGCCCUCAGCCCCGCCCGAGGGGCGAGGAGCUGGCAUCAGGCACGCCCCGGCAGCCCAAGACGCCUUGCUCAGCCACACCCCCAAGGGACCUCAGCAGUGACAAACAUUAAGCCAUGAGUGAAAACUUGACCUAGUUAUGGUGAACAGAGCCGGUAAAUUUCGUGCCAGCCACCGCGGUUACACGAGAGGCUCAAGUUAAUAGACAUCGGCGUAAAGCGUGGUUAGGCUAACCUUAAAAUUAAAGUCGAACGCCCACAAAACUGUUAUACGUACCCGAAGGCAUGAAGCCCCACAACGAAAGUGACUUUAUCACCCCGAACCCACGACAAUCAUGACACAAACUGAGAUUAGAUACCCCAUUAUGCUUGACUGUAAAAAUAAAUAGUACUUUACACCCCCUAUUCGCCCGGGAACUACGAGCACCAGCUUAAAACCCAAAGGACUUGGCGGUGCUUCAGACCCCCCUAGAGGAGCCUGUCCUAGAACCGAUGACCCCCGUUUAACCUCACCGUCCCUUGUUUAACCCGCCUAUAUACCGCCGUCGUCAGCUUACCCCUUGAGGGACUCAGAGUGAGCCGGAUAAGUACCACCUAAAACGCCAGGUCGAGGUGUAGCGUAUGGGACGGGAAGAGAUGGGCUACAUUCUCUUUUAAGAGCACACGAAUGAUACACUGAAAAUAAGUAUCUAAAGGAGAAUUUAGCAGUAAGCAGGGAACAAAGCGCCCUGCUGAAGCCGGCUCUGAAGCGCGCACACACCGCCCGUCACUCUCCCCGAACCUCACUUACCACUAUAUAAGGAAACCUUUCCAACUGAAGGGGAGGCAAGUCGUAACAUGGUAAGUGUACCGGAAGGUGCACUUGGAAGAGA